rnacentral:rRNA from 1 species
UACGUAGGGCGCAAGCGUUGUCCGGAAUUAUUGGGCGUAAAGCGCGUGUAGGCGGUCCGGUAAGUCGGUUGUGAAAGUCCAGGGCUCAACCCUGGGAUGCCGACCGAUACUGUCGGACUAGAGUUCGGAAGAGGAGAGUGGAAUUCCCGGUGUAGCGGUGAAAUGCGCAGAUAUCGGGAGGAACACCUAUGGCGAAGGCAGCUCGCUGGGACGUUACUGACGCUGAGACGCGAAAGCGUGGGGAGCAAACAGG